UAGUCCACGCCGUAAACGAUGAGCACUAGAUUUUGGUGGUAUUGACUCCUUCAGAAUCGCAGCUAACGCAUUAAGUGCUCCGCCUGGGGAGUACGGUCGCAAGACUAAAACUCAAAGGAAUUGACGGGGGGCCCGCACAAGCGGUGGAGCAUGUGGUUUAAUUCGAUGCAACGCGAAAAACCUUACCUGGGUUUGACAUGUACUGGAAGUAUUCAGAGAUGAAUACGCCUUCGGGCCGGUACACAGGUGCUGCAUGGCUGUCGUCAGCUCGUGUCGUGAGAUGUUGGGUUAAGUCCCGCAACGAGCGCAACCCUUAUCUUUAGUUGCCAGCAUUUAGUUGGGCACUCUAAAGAGACUGCCGACGUUAAGUCGGAGGAAGGUGGGGAUGACGUCAAGUCCUCAUGGCCUUUAUAUCCAGGGGCUACACACGUGCUACAAUGGUA
rnacentral:rRNA from 1 species